rnacentral:rRNA from 2 species
UUCGGGGUACUCGAGUGGCGAACGGGUGAGUAACACGUGGGUGAUCUGCCCUGCACUUUGGGAUAAGCCUGGGAAACUGGGUCUAAUACCGAAUAGGACCACGCGCUUCAUGGUGUGUGGUGGAAAGCUUUUGCGGUGUGGGAUGGGCCCGCGGCCUAUCAGCUUGUUGGUGGGGUAAUGGCCUACCAAGGCGACGACGGGUAGCCGGCCUGAGAGGGUGACCGGCCACACUGGGACUGAGAUACGGCCCAGACUCCUACGGGAGGCAGCAGUGGGGAAUAUUGCACAAUGGGCGCAAGCCUGAUGCAGCGACGCCGCGUGAGGGAUGACGGCCUUUCGGGUUGUAAACCUCUUUCAAUAGGGACGAAGCGCAAGUGACGGUACCUAUAGAAGAAGCACCGGCCAACUACGUGCCAGCAGCCGCGGUAAUACGUAGGGUGCGAGCGUUGUCCGGAAUUACUGGGCGUAAAGAGCUCGUAGGUGGUUUGUCGCGUUGUUCGUGAAAACUCACAGCUUAACUGUGGGCGUGCGGGCGAUACGGGCAGACUAGAGUACUGCAGGGGAGACUGGAAUUCCUGGUGUAGCGGUGGAAUGCGCAGAUAUCAGGAGGAACACCGGUGGCGAAGGCGGGUCUCUGGGCAGUAACUGACGCUGAGGAGCGAAAGCGUGGGGAGCGAACAGGAUUAGAUACCCUGGUAGUCCACGCNGUAAACGGUGGGUACUAGGUGUGGGUUCCUUCCUUGGGAUCCGUGCCGUAGCUAACGCAUUAAGUACCCCGCCUGGGGAGUACGGCCGCAAGGCUAAAACUCAAAGGAAUUGACGGGGGCCCGCACAAGCGGCGGAGCAUGUGGAUUAAUUCGAUGCAACGCGAAGAACCUUACCUGGGUUUGACAUGCACAGGACGCCGGCAGAGAUGUCGGUUCCCUUGUGGCCUGUGUGCAGGUGGUGCAUGGCUGUCGUCAGCUCGUGUCGUGAGAUGUUGGGUUAAGUCCCGCAACGAGCGCAACCCUUGUCCUAUGUUGCCAGCGGGUUAUGCCGGGGACUCGUAGGAGACUGCCGGGGUCAACUCGGAGGAAGGUGGGGAUGACGUCAAGUCAUCAUGCCCCUUAUGUCCAGGGCUUCACACAUGCUACAAUGGCCGGUACAAAGGGCUGCGAUGCCGUGAGGUGGAGCGAAUCCUUUCAAAGCCGGUCUCAGUUCGGAUCGGGGUCUGCAACUCGACCCCGUGAAGUCGGAGUCGCUAGUAAUCGCAGAUCAGCAACGCUGCGGUGAAUACGUUCCCGGGCCUUGUACACACCGCCCGUCACGUCAUGAAAGUCGGUAACACCCGAAGCC